rnacentral:rRNA from 1 species
CAGUCGCCGCGGGAAAACGAAGGGGGCUAGCGUUGUUCGGAAUUACUGGGCGUAAAGCGCACGUAGGCGGAUAUUUAAGUCAGGGGUGAAAUCCCGCAGCUCAACUGCGGAACUGCCUUUGAUACUGGGUAUCUUGAGUAUGGAAGAGGUUAGUGGAAUUGCGAGUGUAGAGGUGAAAUUCGUAGAUAUUCGCAGGAACACCAGUGGCGAAGGCGGCUAACUGGUCCAUAACUGACGCUGAGGUGCGAAAGCGUGGGGAGCAAACAGGAUUAGAUACCCGUGUAGUCCCUGUCUCUUAUAC